ensembl:lincRNA Gm28652 predicted gene 28652
UCUCAUGUCGGUAUCAUUUAUGCCUAGAAACUGUAUUCUAUUUUCUAUCCAUGCUCUUUCAUUUCAAGAAACAACUUUUAGAGCCGGGCGUGGUGAUGCACGCCUUUAAUCCCAGCACUCGGGAGGCAGAAGCAGGCAGAUUUCUGAGUUUGAGGCCAGCCUGGUCUACAAAUGAGUCAAAACCUUGAGAUUUGUUUGUUUGUUUGUUUAUAAUGUGCAUUGGUGUUUGGCCUGAGUGUAUGUCUGAGGGAAUCACAUCCAUUAGAACUUGAGUUACAAGGCAGUUACUAGCUGCCUUGUAGGUGCUGGGAAUUGAACCUGGGUCCUCUGGCAGAUCAUCCAUUCCUCUUAAACACUGAGCUAUACCCCCAGCCCCAGGAUCUAGUUUCAAGGAAUAAAGAACUAAGAUGUUUCUAAAGCCCAAGUCUCAUAGGGAAACCCAAGACCAAGACCAGUAUGUUCUCUAGCCAAGAUGAGGGUGCCAGGCAGGAAAACACGUGUAAUGUAGGGAAGAGAGCUGAGACAGGAUUCAGUGUUGUGAGUAAGACAAAGCUUAAGUCUUACACGCGUUCGCAACCGGCCAGGAAGAACACAACAA